rnacentral:rRNA from 1 species
AUACGGAGGGUGCGAGCGUUAAUCGGAAUUACUGGGCGUAAAGCGUACGUAGGCGGUUUGCUAAGUCAGAUGUGAAAGCCCCGGGCUUAACCUGGGAACUGCAUUUGAUACUGGCAGACUAGAGUAUGAUAGAGGGGGGUAGAAUUCCUGGUGUAGCGGUGAAAUGCGUAGAUAUCAGGAGGAAUACCAGUGGCGAAGGCGGCCCCCUGGAUCAAUACUGACGCUGAGGUACGAAAGCGUGGGGAGCGAACAGGAUUAGAAACCCCAGUAGUCC